UACGUAGGGUGCAAGCGUUGUCCGGAAUUAUUGGGCGUAAAGAGCUCGUAGGCGGUUUGUCGCGUCGGCUGUGAAAACCUAGGGCUCAACUCUGGGCUUGCAGCCGAUACGGGCAAACUAGAAUUCGGUAGGGGAGACUGGAAUUCCUGGUGUAGCGGUGAAAUGCGCAGAUAUCAGGAGGAACACCGGUGGCGAAGGCGGGUCUCUGGGCCGAUAUUGACGCUGGAGGAGCGAAAGCGUGGGGAGCGAACAGG
rnacentral:rRNA from 1 species